GCAGGCUGCAACUCGCCCUGCAUGAAGUUGGAAUUGCUAGUAAUCGCGAAUCAGAAUGUCGCGGUGAAUACGUUCCCGGGCCCUUGUACACACCGCCCGUCACACCAUGAGAGUCGAUAACACCCGAAGCCUGUGAGCUAACCGCAAGGGGCAGCAGUCGAAGGUGGGGUUGAUGAUUGGGGUGAAGUCGUAACAAGGUAUC
rnacentral:rRNA from 1 species